GCCCGCGUAGCUCAAUGGCUAGAGCGUGUGACUUUUAAUCAUUGAAUUGAAAUCCCAAGGCUGUGGGUUCGAGUCCCACCGUGGGCG